CCUACGGGAGGCUGCAGUGAGGAAUAUUGGUCAAUGGACGAGAGUCUGAACCAGCCAAGUAGCGUGAAGGAUGAAUGCCCUAUGGGUUGUAAACUUCUUUUAUAUGGGAAUAAAAUGUUCCACGUGUGGGAUUUUGUAUGUACCAUAUGAAUAAGGAUCGGCUAACUCCGUGCCAGCAGCCGCGGUAAUACGGAGGAUCCGAGCGUUAUCCGGAUUUAUUGGGUUUAAAGGGAGCGUAGGUGGAUUGUUAAGUCAGUUGUGAAAGUUUGCGGCUCAACCGUAAAAUUGCAGUUGAAACUGGCAGUCUUGAGUACAGUAGAGGUGGGCGGAAUUCGUGGUGUAGCGGUGAAAUGCUUAGAUAUCACGAAGAACUCCGAUUGCGAAGGCAGUUCACUGGACUGCAACUGACACUGAGGCUCGAAAGUGUGGGUAUCAAACAGGAUUAGAUACCCUAGUAGUC
rnacentral:rRNA from 1 species